CUGCGAAUGGCUCAUUAUAUCAGUUAUAGUUUAUUUGGUGAAGUGUACUACUUGGAUAACCGUAGUAAUUCUAGGGCUAAUACAUGAGAAAGUCCUCUGGUGAGGUGUGUUUAUUAGAAUGAAAACCAUAUGCUUCGGCAUGAUAGUGAGUAAUAGUAACCUAUCGUAUCGCAUGCUUAAUGUAGCGAUGAGUCUUUCAAGUUUCUGCCCUAUCAGCUUUCGAUGGUAGUAUAUGGGCCUACCAUGGCAGUAACGGUAA
rnacentral:rRNA from 1 species